CGUGGCUCGAGUUCCAGACCCAGGGGCUUGAAAACUCAGGCUGGAUGUGUCUGUGUUCAUGCUCAAAAGCCCGAGGGGCUGUGGUGUAAGAGGUGAGCUUAGAAAUCCAUCUUGCUCAGAAACAGUUCUGCCAUCUUCACUGUUCACCCCAUGUGGCGACUGCACCUUCUGUUACCAAAGACAAAGGAACAAGUACACGUUAACAUCAAGGUGACUAUCAAGAAGAAACUCAGGAACAUGAAGAUCACCUGAUCUCUGUGUGGCACAGUGUACUCGG